CACAUGGAGCCCCGGCCCCGCGGAUUCCGAGGAAGCAGAGGCGAUCAAAGCGCCGGAGAAACCGGGCUGGGCACGCUUACUUCCGCCAGAGGGCGCUGUCGGCUCGCGGAGCCCGGCGCCGUAAAUGCAGGCUCUGAGUUGCCACCGCGACCCGCCCAGCAUCCCGGGGAAUUCAUCACUACAGUCCCUGGUUGCCUUGGUGCAGAGAGACCCAACCAUGGCCAAGGACCUUAUCUGGGGCUCAGAUGGUUGAAUCUGCUCCACAGAGCACAUGUGGAAUCUAUGAGAGACCCUAACCAGGCAGACCUUUGCAGAAGCCAUUAACAUCUCACGAAUGGCGAAGACCAGCAGAGCAACAAGGCUGCGAAUCUGAAUGUGCUAGUCUAAGGUUUGGACACCCCUCCUUGAUUCCUUCUACUCAGCUCAACAAUAUCCAUAGACUGUUUCUUUUUUGAUCAGAUGGAGGGUAAAGUGUCCUCAGACUUGGAUCUUCUGUCUCCCUGACAUCCUGUGUUUGGGGUGAGUCUUUUGGAGGAAAAUUACGGAAGAGAAAGUACCUAUCCCUGAAAAAUUGCUUUUUUAAAAGUAUGAACUCCCAUUAUGCUGCUUCUCUACCUUAGAAGGAUCAGUGUCGCUCAAGGAGGAAGUUCCAGCUUCCUUCUUAGGCUCUACAAGGCCUUAGUCCAACCUAGCUCACCUCCUCUCACCUGAAAGGCCAGGCACACCCGGUUCCUUACUCAUCCCAAACAGCCAUGCUCUUACCUACCUGAGCUCUCUACACUCUGUUCCUGUUGCCUCCAAUGCCCUUUUCUCUCCUCUUUGCUUUUGAAGAAACUCCUGUUGAAAAGCCUAGGCCUGCUGGGUGAUGCCUUCCCAGGCAACUUCAGGCGAAGUGUUGACUCUUCUUUCAUGCACUCCCAGAGGCUGGUACAGCCCUCCAUUUGCAACUUAUCAUACUGCCCUGGGGACUCUUGCUCCACCAGCCUUUUUUCACGAGCCUUAAUUUAAUCAAUUUAUUUUUAAAUUUUUAUUUUAUAUUUUUGGCUGUGCUGGGCCUUUGUUGCUGUGUGCAGGCUUUCUCUAGACGCAGUGGGUGGGGGCCACUCUUCAUUGCAGCGUGCAGGCUUCUCAUUAUGGUGGCUUCUCGUAUUGCAGAGCACAGACACUAGGCGCCCAGCUUCAGUAUUCGUGGCAAGCAGGCUCAGUAGUUGUGGUGCAUGGGCUUAGUUGCUCUGAGGCAUGUGAGAUCUUCUCGGACCAGGGAUUAAACCCACGUUCCCCGCAGUGGCAGGUGGAUUCUUAACCAUUGCACCACCAGGAAAGU
rnacentral:lncRNA from 1 species